rnacentral:rRNA from 1 species
GAGUUUGAUCCUGGCUCAGAACGAACGCUGGCGGCAGGCCUAACACAUGCAAGUCGGACGAAGCCCUCGGGCUUAGUGGCGGACGGGUUAGUAACGCGUGGGAACGUACCCUUUUCUACGGAAUAGCCUUUGGAAACGAAGAGUAAUACCGUAUACGCCCUUCGGGGGAAAGAUUUAUCGGAGAAGGAUCGGCCCGCGUUAGAUUAGAUAGUUGGUGGGGUAAAGGCCUACCAAGUCUACGAUCUAUAGCUGGUUUUAGAGGAUGAUCAGCAACACUGGGACUGAGACACGGCCCAGACUCCUACGGGAGGCAGCAGUGGGGAAUCUUAGACAAUGGGCGCAAGCCUGAUCUAGCCAUGCCGCGUGAGUGAAGAAGGCCUUAGGGUCGUAAAGCUCUUUCGCCUGUGAUGAUAAUGACAGUAGCAGGUAAAGAAACCCCGGCUAACUCCGUGCCAGCAGCCGCGGUAAUACGGAGGGGGUUAGCGUUGUUCGGAAUUACUGGGCGUAAAGCGCACGUAGGCGGAUUGGAAAGUUAGAGGUGAAAUCCCAGGGCUCAACCCUGGAACUGCCUUUAAAACUCCCAGUCUUGAGUUCGAGAGAGGUGAGUGGAAUUCCAAGUGUAGAGGUGAAAUUCGUAGAUAUUUGGAGGAACACCAGUGGCGAAGGCGGCUCACUGGCUCGAUACUGACGCUGAGGUGCGAAAGUGUGGGGAGCAAACAGGAUUAGAUACCCUGGUAGUCCACACCGUAAACGAUGAAUGCCAGUCGUCGGGUAGUAUA